GAUGAACGCUGGCGGCGUGCCUAAUACAUGCAAGUCGAGCGAACAGAUAAGGAGCUUGCUCCUUUGACGUUAGCGGCGGACGGGUGAGUAACACGUGGAUAACCUACCUAUAAGACUGGGAUAACUUCGGGAAACCGGAGCUAAUACCGGAUAACAUAUUGAACCGCAUGGUUCAAUAGUGAAAGGCGGCUUUGCUGUCACUUAUAGAUGGAUCCGCGCCGUAUUAACUAGUUGGUAAGGUAACGGCUUACCAAGGCAACGAUACGUAGCCGACCUGAGAGGGUGAUCGGCCACACUGGAACUGAGACACGGUCCAGACUCCUACGGGAGGCAGCAGUAGGGAAUCUUCCGCAAUGGGCGAAAGCCUGACGGAGCAACGCCGCGUGAGUGAUGAAGGUCUUCGGAUCGUAAAACUCUGUUAUCAGGGAAGAACAAAUGUGUAAGUAACUGUGCACAUCUUGACGGUACCUGAUCAGAAAGCCACGGCUAACUACGUG
rnacentral:rRNA from 1 species